ensembl:lncRNA
GCGGAGGCGGGGUGGCGCAGGAAGAAGGGAGCAGAAACCGGGUGGGGGCGGGACGCCGGCCGCGAGCGCGCGUGGGGGAGGCACUCCGCAAAGUGGCGAGUCAGGGUGGCCGGGUCUUGGGCGCCGCUCCCCCGAAAGCGGUCGAGAUCAGGCGUCCGCACUGGGCAACAGAGGUCCCUGAACGCUCGGACACUUCCUGGGGAAGGGGGCGGGGGCAAGGGUAAGGACUUGGUGAAGGAGGGUGAGAGGCUGGCGUGCUGUCCCAAGGGUCCAGCCUCUACCGGGCACUUUCGGAGCACACCCGCAAUCUAUCCUUGGACAGUCAUCCCUUCAAGAGCAGGUGCCCAGGAGACAGAACCCCCAAGAUGGCUGGAGGACUCCAGAAGACAGCAGGGGCUGAGACAGGUUUUUUCAAUGGGGUCAUUAACCCGAAUGAACUACGCUCUGCUUCACAUGGAUUCAAAGAAAAUGGAAGGGAUAUUCAGGAAGCAUUUGCCUUUGCUCCUAACCUCAGAGCCUUUGUUCACAGAAAUUCUCCUUGGUUUAAUUUCCUUUCAACACCAGCUCCAGUUUCUUCCUUUUUAUUGCUUGCAGUGUUUAAGGUAGAUUUCAGUAUAGUAUGUAAUUUCUGGGAUUCUUUUGGUUGCAAGUAACAGAAAGCUGGCUCAAACUGGCUCCAACAAUGCGGGCGUUGUUGACUCACGUGUCAGAAGUCAGGCCUGUCUUCCUCCCCCAGCUCCCUCUCCUCCAGGCCAGCUAGAGGCAGCUUCCAUCCUUCCCACCCCAAGACUGAUGUCCAUUGACCUGUAUGAGGUCACAGGCCAGUGAGGAGCCAGGUGGGUAUAGAGCAAGAGCUGUUGCUCAUCCAAAGGGAGCAGAGUGACCAGGACGAGGAGAAUGGUGGGUGGAGGCUGGCCAGUGAAAACAGGGUCUCAUUGCUCUGGGAGGGGAAUUAGCCUGGGGAGAAUUCUCCAGGGCCAUCUGCUCCCAUCAGUCGUGAGACAGUAGAGGAAGGAGAGGGGCUUUCCAGAAAAGCUUCCGUGGCCCCGAGCCCCACCCAACCCCACCCCCUUGAAGAUCCUAGUCUUGAUUGCCCUCCUGCCCAACUGGACGCUCACGUUUGGUAGCAGCUGAGGCAGGAGGACUAAUCGCCUCACUUCGGGCCUGCACCCUCCAGCUGACAUCUGGGCAGGAGGUGAACAGCUGGGAGGGAAGCCAUCAUUCAGAAGAGCGUUCACUGAGCACCUGGGGCAAGUGAAAAUAAGCACAUCCAGCCAAAUG